rnacentral:lncRNA from 1 species
GGCACAGUUAAUGCGAGGGGGCUGUAAUUUGGAGGAAUAAGGGAGGUCUUGAGCUACUGCGAAGGCUCAGCUCGGAAACUCUGAGCCUCUGUCAUUAUUAAUGGGGGGGCACUGGAGAGAGGAUUGCUCAGCUAAGAGCAAGAGGCAGUGGAGGGAUACAAAUCGAGAUGAGCAGCAGCUGACUCGGCAAAACUGCUCAAUGACUUUGCAAAAGACCCGUCACAACGGAUAAACGGCCCCCCCUGAAGAGGCAGCUUAGCAUUCCUGCAGUGCACACAAUUAUUUCCAGGGACGAGAUUGAGAGGGAGGAGAAAGAAAGAGGAAAGAAGAUCAAAAGACGCCUUUAAUGACUCUGCAGACAUUUCUUAAACGAGCGAUUGGGAAGAAGAGAGCCGUAAAAGAAAAACCAAAACAAGGAAUGCAGGCACUUCAUUUUAAGCUCUGGCCACUGGGCGAGCAUCCACCACGCUGCCCUUUUCCUGCUCAUGAAAAAUGGUGAGUUGCUCUGUGGCUGUUGACUACACUCUAAUUGCUUUGGGGGUAAAUGAGGCAUGAAACCUAUUGUCAAAAAACAUGGUGUCCACAGCUACCGCCAUGCUUUUAUCUUCCCAGUACAUCACCCCCAGGGGUCCAGGCUGCCUGAGGGACCUAAGAGCCUUAAAGUACCAACAGCCCACAUUUCUUGAAGGCAGACUUUCAGUUUACAGGCAACUAAUCCUCACUGCAUCGGCUCCAACAGACGGGCACAAUCAAUUCAGGGAGAGCAAGCAACGCCAGGUCUGCUCAAUCUUCUCUCAACGAGCAGCAGAGGAGAGGCGGUGGGNGGGGGGGGGAGGAGACGGAAAGAAAGACAGAGAAUGCAGACAUCCCUGCUCCCAAGAUAGCUUAGCAGAGGCAAAGACGAAAAGACAAGUUGAAAUACAUAUCCUGGCAGAUGGAAGCGUUUGCUGUCGGAGGGAGAGGCUGAAACACCACGAAGACACAAAGCGCACCCAGCCUCCGGGCGCUGAGGAGUGUCUAAGGGAGCCAGGCAGACGGAAAAGGGUGUAUGUCGAAACAAAGGAACUGGGCACAGCACCUCUAGGGAGGAAAGAGGUCUGGAUUUGCUGAGGUCUCCACCGUCUAUGAUCUAUAGCAUAGCGUGAAGAGCGAGUUAAUUACUGCGCUUAGGUAAUUACGUCUCAGAGAAACCAGUGCCUUCCAGAGCAGCAUUAAUUUACACUGCUAGAUCUUUCUAGGCUUGACUGGCCAUAUGGGGAGAAGUCACACUGGAACAGUGGCUUAACAGCGGCAGGAAGAAAAUAAAUGAAAAUGAGCUAGAAAUAAGAGGCCCUGGAAUUGACAGUGUUCUCGGUUUUCUAUUUUUGGACGCAAAGGGCAGGACGAGAUGCUUCCUUCAUUUACCAGCAGCGCUUCAUCCCCCAACAGCUCAGGCCCCCCUCCAUCCCCUUGCUCCAAGCGUGGGCAAUAACUUAAUGUGCUUUGACUCCUCUGACUUUCCUUGGCACUCGCUUCUCUCCCAUGGCCACUACAUCUUCCCUUCUGAGCCCCUGAAUAAUGUAUUUGUCUACAGUGGAGGGCAUCAAAAGGGCUUGUGUGGAUAACAGUUGUCCCUCUCCUGAUUCAUUAAAGACCCUCCCUGUUCUCCGAGAUCCAUCUUCUCCCUGCCACGGUUGUGAGACAGGUUCUCUGGGCCAAGGAACUCAUCAUCCAUCGUUAGGCUGUUCCUCUCCUCUUCUGAGAAGGAAUGCUACUAUUUAAGAAUGGGAAGAUGAAAGCAUUUCUUGUC